ensembl:snRNA U6 U6 spliceosomal RNA
AUGCUCACCUCACAGCACAUAAACUAAAAUCGGACCGAUACAGAGAGGAUUAGCAUGGCCCCUGCACAAGAAUGACAUGCAAAUUCAUGAAGCGUUCCAAAUUUGG